rnacentral:lncRNA from 1 species
UUCUGUACUGAUCCUUCUUCUGACUUCUGAUUCGGGUACUGCUUCUGCUGAUAAUCCGAAUCUUGCCCACCAGAUAUCAAAGCAAGCGGGCCUACUGGCGACAUUUAACAUUCUCCCAAGUAGAAAGAACCAUGAAUGAGUUCGAUCUGGAUUGUUAAUCUUCAGAGCCUCAAUGAAGGACUCUUGAUAUUACAAAUAGCUGCACCGGAUAUGGCUUCCAGUUAGAAUUUGAGGAUCUAACAUUGUUAUAGUUCCCCACUCUGAAAAAGGGAUGAUCCUCUGGAAGAUGCAUACGGAGUACGCGAUGUCAUUGCCUCUGUAAGAGUGCUUUUUUUAUAUGCCGAUUUCGUUGCCUUUAAUCUAUCUUGAGCUCAUCUCCAUCCUCCAGGUUGCAGGGAAGAGCUCUAUAUUCUGGGUCCAAGGAUGAUGGUUGCAACGUUCCAACCAUCUGCGCUUCCACCAAUGACUUCAGGCUCAAGGCAGGGAGCCUCUAUUUCUGUAUGAUUCACAACCC